CAGACAAAAUUUCACUUAUAACUGUCACCAGUCUGUAGCUUGGCAUGACGCCCCAUCUGACAGCUAUGACAAAGCACUGAGGUUCUUAGGAUCGAACGAUGAAGAAAUGUCUUACGACAACAAUCCUUACAUCAAAGCUCUUCACGACGGCUGUGCAUCAAGAAAGGGCUAUGCAAAGACAGUGAUUGAAAUCAACACGCCCAAAAUAGACCAAGUGCCCAUAGUUGAUGUGAUGAUCAAUGACUUUGGUGAUCAGAACCAGAAGUUUGGAUUUGAGGUCGGUCCUGUCUGCUUCCUUGGUUAAGCUUAAGACAAAAUCAGAUCAACAAAAAUGUUGCACUUUGGUGCUACCAACCCACUUCAUGCCACAUGCAAGUUUUGAAUAAGGAUGGCAUAGAAAAUGUGUCUUGCUGUGUAUGUAUGUCUUAUCUAGAAAGUAAUCAUUGCCCUUGUAGGGCCAGAAUCACAUGACUUAAACUUAUUUUGCAAAGAUGCUGUGGCACAGACAGACAACAUAGGGCUCACUUCAGGAACACCCCCUUUGGAUUCCUCUGGUGCUGUAAAAAAUGAACGACAUGGUGCUCCUUCCAUUACAACAAAGAGGUGUUAAGAAAGUGUUUAAUAAACUGUAAUUAUUCUAUGUACAGUACUAUACUGUUAUUUCUCUGUCCAUUUCCAAAACUUGCAUGUGUCUCUGAAUUGCAUCUGGCUGUUAUUUUACAUUUACAAAACUACAUGGUCAAUACUGUGUAUGUAUUCUGAAAAAAUAAAACUGUAAUUGCCGGUGAA